UUCAUGCCAUUUUCGUCUUUUGGGACUGCGACUGUUCAAAAUUCUAGGAAAUUUCUGUUGUUCAACUCUGUGAAACAACACUUAAGGUCUGAACAUAUAUUUUAUCUACUUUCAACAUAUUUUUUUUUGUUUUUAUUUUACACCUUUGAUUUUCAUAUAGGUUGGUAUUGAUGGUCCACUAAAAUUUCCUUUGGUCCUUAUUAAAUUGCUUGGUAAAAAACAUGUCUUCAAAGUCAAAUGGAAAUCCA
rnacentral:lncRNA from 1 species